rnacentral:rRNA from 1 species
GACGAACGCUGGCGGCGUGCCUAAUACAUGCAAGUUGAGCGCUGAAGGUUGGUACUUGUACCAACUGGAUGAGCAGCGAACGGGUGAGUAACGCGUGGGGAAUCUGCCUUUGAGCGGGGGACAACAUUUGGAAACGAAUGCUAAUACCGCAUAAAAACUUUAAACACAAGUUUUAAGUUUGAAAGAUGCAAUUGCAUCACUCAAAGAUGAUCCCGCGUUGUAUUAGCUAGUUGGUGAGGUAAAGGCUCACCAAGGCGAUGAUACAUAGCCGACCUGAGAGGGUGAUCGGCCACAUUGGGACUGAGACACGGCCCAAACUCCUACGGGAGGCAGCAGUAGGGAAUCUUCGGCAAUGGACGAAAGUCUGACCGAGCAACGCCGCGUGAGUGAAGAAGGUUUUCGGAUCGUAAAACUCUGGUGGUAGAGAAGAACGUUGGUGAGAGUGGAAAGCUCAUCAAGUGACGGUAACUACCCAGAAAGGGACGGCUAACUACGUG